AAGAUACAACAGGACAGGCUUUGAGGACAGAAACCCAGGGUCACGUUCCUGCUCCAUCACUUUCCAUCAGCAUGGUCUCGGGCAAGGGAAUCGUAAGCAGGUAACUGAUCAUCUGGAAACCUGGGGGACAAGAGGGAAGAAAUGACACCUAGGAUGCUCCAUCCUUUCCCUGCAUCCCUUUGUGUUCAGUUCAACAACUUGGUUCUCCUCCUGACCAGCCACUGUGCUUGGCUGAGGACACAAAGGUGAAGGAGACAGUCUAGUAUAAAACAUGACACAGACCAGACCCAAAGGGGAGGAAGAGGUCCUGUAGAAAGGUGAAGGGGCAUCAUUCACCAAGCCUCUCCAGCAUUAACCAGAGACUGCUGGAGGGCAGCGUGAGCCUACGGAAAAGACUCGACAUCCAGGGUUUGGACUUAAAGGCCCUAGUGUGGACUUCUUCAGUGCUCUGAUUCCUUGAAGAUUCUGUUGGCUUGUUCUCAAAACGUAAGCAACUUUCCAGUGCCAACAUAUUGAAUUCCUUGCCCACGGGGCAUUUCUCAUCAUCAUGGGUUGCAAUGUGUGCUGUUGUCUGUUGCUGCAUAAUAAACCAGUAAGUCUGCUUAAGUGGCAUGAAGCAACUAUUUUGUUAUGCACACGAUUCUAUGGAUCAGGAAUUUGGACAGCCCAGCAAGGAUGGCUUGUCUUUGUUCUGUGACGUUGGGGCUUCUGCUGGGUACCAGAACCAUCUGGCAAUUCCUUCACUCACUUGCCUGCUAUUUGGGCCAGGAUGACUUGAAGUUUAAGGCCACUUAGGACAGUCAACAGAGCAUCUACAAGUGGUCUUUCCAUGUGACUCAGGCUUCUUAUAACACAGUAGCUGGGUUCUGAUGGCAUGUUCCAGAAGGGAGCUUCCAGAGAGUGAACAUUGCAACAGAAGCAGGUGGAAGCUGCAUGGCCAUUUAAGGCCUAGAUGCAGAAGUCACAUAGCAUCAGUCCACUGUACUCUACUGGUCAAAGUAGUCAUAACCCAGAUUCAAGGGGAGGAAACACAGAUCCCCAUCCUUGGAUGGGAGAAAUGACAAAGAAUGUGUGGCCAUUUUUAAGAAAUCAUCACAUGUGCACCCAGUGCUAUGUUGUAGCACACUCCAAUUUGUGUAUUUCCAUCCAUUUCACUAAAGGUCUGAAAGCCCAGCAAGCAUGAAUUGAGGUCCAAGGCCCCACUGGUAAGGAGCAGGAGGCCAUUGGCUAAGUGGUUCAUUUAGCCUGUGUUUAGUGAAUUGGAUCCCUUUGUCUCUUUUUGCAAAUUGCCAGGCCCCGGUGGUCUCACCAGAUAUUAACUGAGGGGAAUUAACUGGACACAGGCAGGAAAUCCACUGUGUGAACCCCCCACCAGUCAGAGUUUAUGGAGGUAUGAGAUGAUGGGCACUGCACACAAAGCUCAAUGUGGUUUCUGUUUCUUUGGGUGAAAUCUUUUGAUACGAUUUCUGAUCAAGAGGUGCAGUCUGUCCAAUUUACUUCAACUUUCUUUAAUUUUUACUAAGCAAUACGAUUAUUAUUAUUAUUAUUAUUUUUAGACAGAGUCUCACUCUGUCGCCCAGGCUGGAGUGCAGUGGCGUGAUCUCUGCUCACUGCAAGCUCCACCUCCCGGGUUCACGCCAUUCUCCUGCCUCAGCCUCCCGAGUAGCUGGGACUACAGGCACCCGCCACCACGCCCAGCUAAUUUUUUGUAUUUUUUAGUAGAGACGGGGUUUCACCGUGUUAGCCAGGAUGGUCUCGAUCUCCUGACCUCGUGAUCUGCCCGCCUCGGCCUUCCAAAGUGCUGGGAUUACAGGCGUGAGCCACCGCGCCCGACUGCAAUAGGAUCUUUUUACCAGAGUGCUUUGGCUGUCGUGGACCACCUGACCUCUUUUCUGGGGACUUUGAAAUCAGGAAGUGUCCCAAGAAGUGCCCAGUGAGGAGUCCCCAAGGUUUCAGGGUGUAUCCCUUCUAGUGUGAUGGAUAAGCCCCUCAGCAUUUAACUAUUUUAGUAGGUGGGUUUGUUUUGUUUUGUUUUUUUCAUUUACCCAAUAGACAUUCAUUCAAUACUUACUCUAAACCCCAUGCCACUGUGUAGGACACAUUUCUUGCCCCUCAGGGAGCGCACAGAUCUAUUAAUGAACCAUGUAGCUUGUGAGGGGUAGACAAUGACAGCGAUGAGAUCAGAGUGCUGUGAGCAUGCUGAAUCCAGUCUUAGACUUGAUGUGGAGCAGAGACUGGUCAGGGCAGGCUUCCUGGAGUUGAGCCAGGUGAAGAAUAAGAGAAGAAGGAGAAAAGAUAGGCAUGAGUAGAGCAGAAAGUGCUUCUCAGAGGGAGGCAGCAUCUGCAGAGAUCCAGGGUCUGGAGAGACAAUGGAGAAUUCCAGAAAUUGGUGGCAUGUACCUCAAUCUGACUGGGGUUGGAAUGAACAGAGAUGAGGCAGGAGAGAUGCAGGGAUCAGAGCUAUCUCCAACCAGAUGGUAGUAUCCUGAAAAAUUGGUUAUUUUCACAUAUCUUUUGUCCUCUGAAGUUUCUAGGUUCAUGUCUUCAACUUUGAUGGUGCUUAAUAAGAAUAAUAACAUUCAUAAAGUGGUUUUAAUGUGUUAUUUUUGCAUACAGUAUUUCAUUCAGUCUUUAUAAGAACCUUUUGAAGAAAUAGGGCGGGUGGCAUGCAGCUCAGUUUACAGUUUAGGAAAAUCAAGAGGUAGGAAGAAUUGUGAUUUACACAAAAUCAGGGGCCUGAAACUCACACCCAAGUCUCUUGCCUCCAAAUCCCACACUCUUCUUACUAUGCAGAUUGCCUUGAUUGAGCUGCAAGGAGAAAGUUUUGUAUUGUAUUUGAGAAAACUCACAACACAGAAGAACAAUAUUUCAGCCUUGUCUGACAUGACAGAUCAGGUCUGAGCUGUGGCCCCAGGUUUUGGUGAUUGACCCAUGAGUCUUGUGUGUGUCUCUGGUGAGCAGAAUGCCCGGUAUAUGUGGGUCCCCAGUGGAUACAGGUCAGGGAGCAAGCAAUCCUCCACACUGGAAGAUGACUUAUUCACAAGGCUGGGCAUCCCUCUCAGACAAAACCCACUAUCAUAUCUCUUCUGGUUUAAUUCAUGUUUUGACACUCAGCAAAUUCCCCAGGAACUUAGCUGAAGAGUUUCGUGAGCCGGAAGUGCCUCUGAAAGAAGUGAGCAGAGAGAAGGGUCUCAAGAUGGCCAGGUUUUGGACUUACACCAUAGGCUCUACUGGUCCUUAGGCCUUUGGACUGAGGCUGGAACCACAUCCUCAGCUCUCCUGGAUCUCCAGCUUGGCAACUGCAGACCUUGGGACAUUUCAGAUUCCAUAAUCAUGACGAAGGCGAUGGCAGCAGUUUUCCAGGCUAGCUGUCUUCACAACCCGAUGGCUCUCUUCUUUUCUGCUGCCACAGAGACUGACUGUCUGCCUCCUGCAAAUUUGAAAUUUGGCAAACCUGCCUCCUCUGCUUCUCAGAACCAAACUGGGGCCAGGAGAACUUCUGACCCAAGUGUUGAUCACCUCUCUUCCUGCACCUCACUGUGCACCCUCUGCUCAGGAAAUGCCUUUGGCGUGUUGCUGACGUCUGUCCCUGCUCCAUCUCUUACCACCCUGCACUUCACCCUUUCCCACACAGGUUUCACCUGAUCUCAGCUGCUUUGGGCAGACCAUCCAGGUAUUUUGGAGUCUGAAAAGGAUCUCUGUCUCUAAGUCUGGUGCAAAUGGAGUUUGGGGGUUUUAAAAUUCAUUCUUCUUGCUGCUGUUUCACAAUUUCUCAGAAAAGGUGAAAAUGCAGACUUUGGCAGUUAUGUUCAAUAUGAAAAGUCUUAAUAAAGUAAUUUUUGACCUAAAGCCCACCAGUAUUUCUGGAACAAUUCAGUCAAUCUUUGAACUUGGUCACAUAAAGUCUUAUUAGAAACACAACGGGGAUUUUGGAGACAGGACUAGUGAACUUUGUGUAGUUAAAUAGAAACUUGAAUUGCCAGUGUAGAGUACU
rnacentral:lncRNA from 1 species